CCUACGGUGGGCAGCAGUAGGGAAUCUUCCACAAUGGGCGAAAGCCUGAUGGAGCAACGCCGCGUGGGUGAAGAAGGUCUUCGGAUCGUAAAACCCUGUUGUUAGAGAAGAAAGUGCGUGAGAGUAACUGUUCACGUUUCGACGGUAUCUAACCAGAAAGCCACGGCUAACUACGUGCCAGCAGCCGCGGUAAUACGUAGGUGGCAAGCGUUAUCCGGAUUUAUUGGGCGUAAAGGGCACGCAGGCGGUCUUUUAAGUCUGAUGUGAAAGCUUUCGGCUUAACCGGAGUAGUGCAUUGGAAACUGGGAGACUUGAGUGCAGAAGAGGAGAGUGGAACGCCAUGUGUAGCGGUGAAAUGCGUAGAUAUAUGGAAGAACACCAGUGGCGAAAGCGGCUGUCUGGUCUGUAACUGACGCUGAGGUUCGAAAGCGUGGGUAGCAAACAGGAUUAGAUACCCGGGUAGUC
rnacentral:rRNA from 1 species